rnacentral:rRNA from 1 species
AACGAACGCUAGCGGUGUGGAUUAGGCAUGCAAGUCGCGCGCGAAAGCCUUCGGGCGAGUAAAGCGGCGAAAGGGUGAGUAACACGUAACCAACGUACCCUCAGACUGGGAUAACCACUGGAAACGGUGGAUAAUACCGGAUGGUCCACUGGGCAGCAUUGCCUGGCUGGCAAACGGCGGCCGCAAGGCGGUUGCUGAGGGAGCGGGUUGCGGCCUAUCAGCUUGUUGGUGAGGUAACGGCUCACCAAGGCUAUGACGGGUAACAGGUCUGAGAGGAUGAUCUGUCACACUGGGACUGAGACACUGCCCAGACUCCUACGGGAGGCUGCAGUCGAGAAUCUUCCACAAUGGGCGAAAGCCUGAUGGAGCGACACCGCGUGCAGGACGAAGGCCU